CACGGGGGGAGCAAGCGUUGUUCGGAAUCACUGGGCGUAAAGGGCGUGUAGGCGGUUCGGUAAGUGGAAUGUGAAAUCCCUCGGCUCACCCGAGGACCUGCAUCCCAAACUGCCGAGCUUGAGUAUGGGAGAGGAUGAGGGAAUUCCUGGUGUAGCGGUGAAAUGCGCAGAUAUCAGGAGGAACACCAAUUGCGAAGGCAGCUCGCUGGGACGUAACUGACGCUGAGACGCGAAAGCGUGGGGAGCAAACAGG
rnacentral:rRNA from 1 species